rnacentral:lncRNA from 1 species
GCUUGCUUUUGGCAAAAAAAUUCAAAGGGAACCUAGACAUGUUUUGUACCCAAAACUUCACAUCCAGUUUUCAUAAAUUUCUAAACUCCAAAUGAAUUUUUCCCCAACAUAACUUUUGUUCCUUAUUCCGAGAGCUUUCCAACCAUUUUUGGAUUUUCCAUGUGGGAGUUUCGAAGAGCUUAAUGUUUAUGCUCAUUUUGCAAUUCACAUCAUAACUUGGAAUGCAAGCUUGUGCAGCCUCUUGUGCCCAUCCAAUUCAACUACAUUUG